rnacentral:tRNA from 1 species
CCUGGUGGCUCAGAGGGUAAAGCGUCUGCCUGCAAUGCAGGAGACCUGAGUUCGAUCCCUGGGUCAGGA